rnacentral:rRNA from 1 species
GUGUCAGCCGCCGCGGUAAUACGGGGGGGGCAAGCGUUAUUCGGAAUUAUUGGGCGUAAAGGGCGCGUAGGCGGCUCGGCAAGUCUGAUGUGAAAUCUUCACAGCUCACCUGGAAGAGGUCAUUGGAAACUGCUGAGCUUGAGGUCCGGAGAGGCCGAUGGAAUUCCCGGUGUAGCGGUGGAAUGCGUAGAUAUCGGGAAGAACACCAGUGGCGAAGGCGGUCGGCUGGACGGCACCUGACGCUGAGGCGCGAAAGUGCGGGGAGCAAACGGGAUUAGAUACCCCGGUAGUCC